ACAUGCCUACAACAUAGCGUUAAUGCACAUAAUCCCAUUAGAACUACGCAGUUAAGCGUGCUUGGGCUAGAGUAGUACUGGUAUGGGUGACCACCUGGGAAGUCCUAGUAUUUUACAUGCC
rnacentral:rRNA from 1 species